rnacentral:rRNA from 1 species
CACGUAGGGCGCGAGCGUUGUCCGGAAUUAUUGGGCGUAAAGAGCUCGUAGGCGGCCUGUUGCGUCCGCUGUGAAAGCCCGGGGCUUAACCCCCGGGUCGGCAGUGGAUACGGGCAGGCUAGAGGUAGGUAGGGGGAGAAUGGAAAUUCCCGGUGUAGCGGUGAAAUGCGCAGAUAUCGGGAGGAACACCGGUGGCGAAGGCGGUCUCUGGGCCUA